UACGUAGGGCGCAAGCGUUGUCCGGAAUUAUUGGGCGUAAAGAGCUCGUAGGCGGUCUGUUACGUCUGCUGUGAAAACCCAGGGCUUAACCCUGGGCUUGCAGUGGAUACGGGCAGACUAGAGGCAGGUAGGGGAGAAUGGAAUUCCCGGUGUAGCGGUGAAAUGCGCAGAUAUCGGGAGGAACACCGGUGGCGAAGGCGGUUCUCUGGGCCUGACCUGACGCUGAGACGCGAAAGCGUGGGGAGCAAACAGG
rnacentral:rRNA from 1 species